GACGUAGGGCGCGAGCGUUGUCCGGAUUUAUUGGGCGUAAAGAGCUCGUAGGCGGCUUGUCGCGUCGAAUGUGAAAUCUCGGGGCUCAACUCCGAGCUUGCAUUCGAUACGGGCAGACUUGAGUACUGCAGGGGAGACUGGAAUUCCUGGUGUAGCGGUGGAAUGCGCAGAUAUCGUGAGGAAGACCAGUGGCGAAGGCGGGUCUCUGGACAGUUCCUGACACUGAGGCACGAAGGCUAGGGGAGCAAACGGG
rnacentral:rRNA from 1 species